UCCUACGGGAGGCAGCAGUGGGGAAUAUUGCACAAUGGGCGCAAGCCUGAUGCAGCCAUGCCGCGUGUAUGAAGAAGGCCUUCGGGUUGUAAAGUACUUUCAGCAGUGAGGAAGGAGGUAUCGUUAAUAGCGGUAUCUUUUGACGUUAGCUGCAGAAGAAGCACCGGCUAACUCCGUGCCAGCAGCCGCGGUAAUACGGAGGGUGCGAGCGUUAAUCGGAAUUACUGGGCGUAAAGCGCAUGCAGGUGGUUUGUUAAGUCAGAUGUGAAAGCCCGGGGCUCAACCUCGGAAUUGCAUUUGAAACUGGCAGGCUAGAGUACUGUAGAGGGGGGUAGAAUUUCAGGUGUAGCGGUGAAAUGCGUAGAGAUCUGAAGGAAUACCGGUGGCGAAGGCGGCCCCCUGGACAGAUACUGACACUCAGAUGCGAAAGCGUGGGGAGCAAACAGGAUUAGAUACCCUGGUAGUCCACGCCGUAAACGAUGUCUACUUGGAGGUUGUGGCCUUGAGCCGUGGCUUUCGGAGCUAACGCGUUAAGUAGACCGCCUGGGGAGUACGGUCGCAAGAUUAAAACUCAAAUGAAUUGACGGGGGCCCGCACAAGCGGUGGAGCAUGUGGUUUAAUUCGAUGCAACGCGAAGAACCUUACCUACUCUUGACAUCCAGAGAACUUAGCAGAGAUGCUUUGGUGCCUUCGGGAACUCUGAGACAGGUGC
rnacentral:rRNA from 1 species